ensembl:lncRNA
CUGACUUCAGAUACCUGUGCACUCCCUCAUCUGCAAUAAACAAGGAGCCAAUCCGAGGGAAGACAGAGAGUCGAGGAAAAGCAGAAGGGAUGGGUUAGAUAUGGAAAAAAUGUAAAAAUAGAUGGAUCAAAUGAAAAGAAAAAGGAACUUCUACCCCUGAGGGGGGCUCCACAACCUCACAGGAGCCGGUGAGGCAAAGAACAAAAUAUCCAGCAACAAGGAAAAAAUGUAGAAGAACGCUAACAAUGGAAUAACAAGAGAAGAAAGGAGUGACGGAGAUCCAGGGAUUUGUCAAUUUCCUUUUGGAGCUUACUGGAUGUUUCAACCAUGAACUUGAGUUUGACCUUUGCCUCCUUUCUUUUCCUGAGUCUUCACUCUUGUACAGAAAAGCUUUGUGAGCUGCUGAAAUGCCACAGUCCAGUGGGAUCUUGGUGCCAGGGAGUUCUGGAAAAUGGAGUACUCGUCCCCAAGUGCGUUUGUCCUCAGUCCUGUCCAAGCCCUACCUUACCCUAUUGGAUAAGAACAAGCUGAGCCACAGGGACCUGAGGAAGCUGUGAUACAAAAUGAUGCCACCGGAGCACCGGGCUUCAUCAAUCUCUCAGAAACCAACCGCAUGGAAGAAAAAAAGCAGUGAUUACAUGGCCUGUUGGAUAAGUAGUUGAAAUGAUGAUCCUAUACCAUAAGGGGACUGAGUAGUCAAUAAUGUUUGGGCAGUGCUGCUCACACUAAGGUUCACAAUGUGAACCUUCUGUCUCUUGCAAUAUGUUACUUCACUGCUAAUUACUGAAACACCGAGGGUUAAAAGUGUCACACGACGAUGCUUUUCGCCCCCGCUCUGUGACCAAGUUGCACCUCCCACCAUGCUGUUCUCUCUGCACGCCAUCUAUCUAUCCAUCCAUUCAUCGUCCAUGCCAACACCCGCUUCCUGUGUCCUCCUCCCCUCCGGUCUCACGACCGCACCAUCGCUCCAUCAUCUUACUCCUCCUCCACGUUGGAGCGCUUGUUUCCCCCUUCAGUGCUUCCUACUCUCAUCUUCAAAUAGACUUAUCCUCGGCCUCCUUUCCUGUCGAUCCUUUCUUCAUUUCCACUCGUUCUUUCCAUCUCUCCCCAUUCUUCAUCCUCCACUCUCCCAACCCCCUUUUUCCCUGCCAGUCUGCAGUGACAGGUUUUGUGGGAGUAGGACUGGCUGUGUCAAUGUCAAGCCAUUCCCAGCAAUGAUAAUGUUUAUUACCCACUGUGUCUCCCGCUGCCCAUGGAUUAACACAGAUUGAAGCAGUACCCUUCAGAGAUAACAUUGCAGGGUGAACGGAAAGACAAUGGCUGUCUAGCUAGCCCCGCAAUGGGAUUAAGCUCCUGCAAGCUGUGUCCUACAAUCAGACGAAGAUACCUCUAACGUGAAAAAAAGGCAAUGAACUAACUCCUUUCUGCAUGUCUGCUGAACUGUAAAGAACUGGCUGGAGACAACAUCUCCACAAUUUAAUAGCCACUGGCUGGCCUCUCUACACACUCCCAUCUGUUUCACGCCAGUGUUGCAGCUCAUAACGUUGUGAUUUAUGACCACGUCAAAUUUGAAAGUGUUUGGCUUGUCUGCGCAUUCGUACGUGCACGUGCUGACCGCCAACCUCGUUAAUUACAUCAGCUGACAUUUGUAUAUUGUCUAUUGUAAAAGAGCAGAGACGAUCGUCAAUGACGAGUAAAAAAAAAAUGACACGGCCUGCAACUAUGAGGGACGACGACAGCAGCGCGGACGGACAGCGGGAUGUUCCCUGAAUGACAGACUAGAUGGGGGGAAACAUCCGCUUCGUACGGGAUGACGUGACCAGAGAGGAGACAAAGGGAUCAUGACGGGGAGAAGUGGUGGAAAGAGUCAUAAUGCACUAGAAGAGAGAGGGGAAGGGGGGAGGAGGGGAGACAAAGUGACCGAAGGAAGGAAGGAGAGAGAGAGAGAGAGAAGUAUAAAAGGUCUCAGAAAGAUGGAAGGAGGUAAUGCAUCGUAAAUGGCAUUGGAGUGUAAUGCAUAAAAAAUGGAUCAGAAAUGAGGGAAAGACUGAGAACGGAGGAGUGAGAGGAAGGUGGGGGGAGGGGGGCGGGGG